rnacentral:rRNA from 1 species
UACGGAGGGAGCUAGCGUUGUUCGGAAUUACUGGGCGUAAAGCGCACGUAGGCGGUUAUUCAAGUCAGAGGUGAAAGCCCGGGGCUCAACCCCGGAAUUGCCUUUAAGACUGCAUCGCUUGAAUCCGGGAGAGGUGAGUGGAAUUCCGAGUGUAGAGGUGAAAUUCGUAGAUAUUCGGAAGAACACCAGUGGCGAAGGCGGCUCACUGGACCGGUAUUGACGCUGAGGUGCGAAAGCGUGGGGAGCAAACAGG